GAUCAUUACUGAAGAAAUGCGUAGUUAGUUGAGCUGACUCCCUUAGGAGUAUGUGCUCGCUAUAUCGCUUUUUCUAACUCUCCACUGUGCACCCUAUUGUAGGCUAUGAUAAGGUUUAGAAGGCUUUAUGCAUUCAUUCAUUUUGUUUGUUUUGCUUGCUUUCAACUUUGUAGCCUAUGUCUUACACAAACUCUUUGAUAGUCUUAUGAAUGUGUGUAUCCAAAUUGGUCUUUGAUCAAUACAAGUCAUAUAUACAACUUUCAGCAACGGAUCUCUUGGCUCUCGCAUCGAUGAAGAACGCAGCGAAAUGCGAUAAGUAAUGUGAAUUGCAGAAUUCAGUGAAUCAUCGAAUCUUUGAACGCACCUUGCACUCCUUGGGUAUUCCGAGGAGUAUGCCUGUUUGAGUGUCAUUAUAUUCUCAAAAACCUAGCUGUUCUCUGAAUGACUAGGCUUUUUGGAUGUGAGGGAUUGCUGGCUUUCUAUCGAGUCUGGCUCCCUUCAAAUGCAUUAGUGGUUGCUUCAUUCACUAGAGUGUGAUAGUAUAUCUACGCUUGUUACAGUGAACUGAAUAUAAGUCAUCUGCUUUCCAACUGUCUUGAAACAUAACAGACAUAUUUUGACUAUWUGACCUCAAAUCAGGUAGGACUACCCGCUGAACUUAAGC
rnacentral:misc_RNA from 1 species